UACGAAGGGGGCUAGCGUUGUUCGGAAUUACUGGGCGUAAAGCGUGCGCAGGCGGCUUCUCAAGUCAGGGGUGAAAGCCCAGAGCUCAACUCUGGAAUUGCCUUUGAGACUGAGUGGCUUGAGUACGAGAGAGGUGAGUGGAAUUCCCAGUGUAGAGGUGAAAUUCGUAGAUAUUGGGAAGAACACCGGUGGCGAAGGCGGCUCACUGGCUCGUAACUGACGCUCAUG
rnacentral:rRNA from 1 species